GCUAGCUAGCUGGCUAUAAAAUAAAUUAGUAUUGUAUGCUGUAUCCGUUCACGGUCAUGCAAAAGUUAGCAAUCAAGCUAACUACUUCGAGACCAUGUAAUUCUUGUCCAAUAACUAGCCAAGUAAGGUGCAUUCGAAUAAUUUGUGCAUUCACGCACUGAGCUUCCUGAAGCCAAAAAAUAAGUGUUUCAAUCCACAAAAUCGUUGCCAUUCCGACUAAACUGCUAGAUAAUUUAAAUGUAAAGUCUAAACCGACCUAGCUAACUGUAGUUAAGUUAGCUAGCAAGCUUGCUACGCCAUUCAAUUCAAACGCUAACACUAACCGCAGACAUCUCACGGUUCUGGACUUAGACUAUUUUUUAUUUCGAAAAGUUUCUGCAAGACUGGCAGCGUCAUGACCAGUGCUUUGUCUUCUGUUGCAUUCCCUGGAACAUUCUCUCUCAGCACCAAAUGAACAACUUGCCUGCACCAGGGACAGAAACUCCUCUCUGCCCAUCUAGGGGGACAUCAUGGCAGUGCAGAAUUUUUGCUGUGUCUGUUUCAGCCUCUUGUACCCAGGCCUGUCCACCACCAGCAUACUAAGAGACCUCCCUCCUUCCUUCACCAUAAGGACCACAUCCUCCAGAAAUUCCUCCUCCACAUUCUGUCCAUUUACUUCCACCACUACAUCACCUUGAAAGAGACCAGCAUUCUGUCCUGGUCCCCCUUCCGCCACCUAGAGGACAGGAUGUUAAACUUCAUCAUUAAACUCUGUCUUACACCUUCAGCAUGCUAGCACUUCCUCAAUGACUGCUUCCUAGCGGUACAGGCCAAAUACUUUGUAUAUAUUAACAUGGAUAAGAAGCAUUUUACUUGCGUGUAAAUAAAGUAGAUGACUUCUUAAA